UACGAGGGGUGCAAGCGUUGUCCGGAAUGAUUGGGCGUAAAGGGCGCGUAGGCGGCCUUGUAAGUCAAGUGAAAGUCCUGGUUUUAAGUUGGGAAUUGCUUUGGAUACUGUGAGGCUUGAGUGCAGGAGAGGUAAGUGGAAUUCCCAGUGUAGCGGUGAAAUGCGUAGAGAUUGGGAGGAACACCAGUGGCGAAGGCGACUUACUGGACUGUAACUGACGCUGAGGCGCGAAAGUGUGGGGAGCAAACAG
rnacentral:rRNA from 1 species